AUUGAACGCUGGCGGCAGGCUUAACACAUGCAAGUCGAACGAGUGGCGGACGGGUGAGUCAUGUCUGGGAAACUGCCUGAUGGAGGGGGAUAACUACUGGAAACGGUAGCUAAUACCGCAUACCAUCAGAUGUGCCCAGAUGGGAUUACCUUGUUGGUGGGGUAAUGGCUCACCAAGGCGACGACCCAUAGCUGGUCUGAGAGGAUGACCAGCCAGACUGGAACUGAGACACGGUCCAGACUCCUACGGGAGGCAGCAGUGGGGAAUAUUGCACAAUGGGCGCAAGCCUGAUGCAGCCAUGCCGCGUGUAUGAAGAAGGCCUUCGGGUUGUAAAGUACUUUCAGCGAGGAGGCGUUACCCGCAGAAGAAGCACCGGCUAACGCCGUGCCAGCAGCCGCGGUAAUAC
rnacentral:rRNA from 1 species